UACAGAGGGUGCAAGCGUUUAAUCGGAAUUACUGGGCGUAAAGCGUGCGUAGACGGUUAUGUAAGUCGGGUGUGAAAGCCCCGGGCUCAACCCUGGGAAUGCCAUUCGAGACUGCAUAGCUAGGGUGCGGAAGAGGGAAGCGGAAUUUCCGGUGUAGCGGUGAAAUGCGUAGAUAUCGAGAGGAACACCUGCGGCGAAGGCGGGUUGCUGGGCUGACACUGACGCUGAUGUGCGAAAGCUAGGGGGAGCGAACGGG
rnacentral:rRNA from 1 species